AUCCAGCUGAUGAGUUCCAAAUAGGACGUAACGCGUAUCCUGGAU
rnacentral:hammerhead_ribozyme from 1 species